GUGGGCUUGGGUGGCGGACGCACCGCGACCGUCCCCGCCGGCCGGGUGGCGCGGGUCACCGCCCCGGCCCGGCUGUAACCCGGGUCCCCGUCC
rnacentral:tRNA from 1 species